UGAUCCACCCCCCCGCCGGCCUCUCAAAGUGCUGGGAUUACAGACGUAAGCCACCGCGCCUGGCCUGUUUAACUUUUUGACCUCCAUAAUCAUCCUCUUCCAGAUGUUCAUUAACUACUGUUGCCUCCAUUUAUCUAAGUUGGCACACAGAAGAAGACUGAGGUGAAAUCUUCGGGGGUCCACGAAGUGUUUGUAGUGGCCGGUUUCGUGGCAUAGUGAUCAUUAUAACAGUGAUUCAUUUCACCAAGUAUUAAGCACCUACUCUUUCCCGUAGGCCUGGCUAGGCCUAGAGAUGGAGGAAAACGUCAAAGUAAUGGAAUACAAUAUCCUUGUCUUUGAGGUAUUAACCUGCAGUAGCUGAGGGCAUAUGUCCUGUUUACCUGAAAAAACAAUUUUUUUCAAAGCAAAACAAAAAUUAAUUAUAGAGAUUUGAGGUUUGGUUAGUCUUAGAAGGUUUUGUGGACUUCAAAUUUCAUCUUAAAAGAAGUGUAGGAUUUAGAUGACUGGAAAUAGGGAAAGAAUUAUUGUUCCAGGAGAGGAAAAGCAUAAACCGAGUUUGCAUAAAGGGAACCAGUAGUGAGCCAUGGGCACAGGCAGGGUGGAAAGUUAGACGGGAAAGGUGCCUCUCCUAGAAAACUGGUUGGAAGGCUGACCAGGGACUGGGGAGUUAGGGGUUAAUCUCUCAAUCCGAUAUAUGCUAAAGAACCAUUGUGAACUCUUAAUCAGAGCAGAGGGAUAAUGGAAAUGAUGCUUCAGAAAGAAUCCACUUGUGCAGAUAAGAGGCUUUGUAAUUACCAGAGAGGAAUAGGAUAUGAAGGUUUUCAUCAGCAUCAAGAGCUGUCUGAGCUGCAGAAAAUUUCUAGCUUCUACACAAAAUGAAGGUUUAUAUAGAACAGCAGAGAGGAGAAGAAAAGGGCAUUAAAGGAUAACUUUUAAUUCCACAAAGAAUGGUAACGAAAGACUAAAGUUUCUAGCAUAGUACUAGUGACAUCGUAGGGCUUAAUAAGUAUUAUUACAGUUGUUAUUUUUAUUACCAUUUUAAGAUUAUUUUGCAUGAUGUUUUCAUAGCAAUAGAAAAUAAGAAAAUCUUACAUUUGUUAUGUGACAGCUAGGUUAGAAUCUGAUUUCUUUUUUUCCCCUUUCAACAACCCUGAGAUGUCGAUUAUCCCUUUUUUUUUAUAGUAGAAGAUACAAGGCUCAGAAUGACUAAGAAACAUACAGCUAGUGAGUGGUACAGGCUGGAUCUGGACCCAGAUGUGUCUCGCUCCAGAAUCCAUGCUUCUUCCACUCUGUCUCUGAAUUGGGAAUCAAAAGAUCUGCCAGAAGCUAAAAGAGCAAAUGUGUGAUUGAAAAACCAAUGACUGCUCUAAACUCACCUAAAGAGUCAGUGAGAAGGGAGAAUGUUUAACAGUGAAGCGCAGAAAAGGGCAGGGUCUGAGGAGCAGAACUGGGAGA
rnacentral:lncRNA from 1 species